rnacentral:rRNA from 1 species
GGUCUGAUUAACAUUGGGCUUGGUUGGGUUGGCAGGUGACUCACUGGUUCACUUUGUGGACUAUGAGUGUUACUAGCCGGCUAUAGUGGAUCUGUACAGUGUGUCGGAGAUGGCGGCUUGGCAUAUAUGCUCUGUCCUUCAGGCGUGGUUAAGUCUGGUCAGCUUGUUGCUAGUUUCGGCUGGUCAGUUGAUGGCUUGAUCAUGUUCAGUUGGCAGCAGUGUGUGUGUCUUAGUUUGGGCCAAUAGUCUGUGGUGUUGUGGUAGACUAUCCACCUGACCCGUCUUGAAACACGGACCAAGGA